rnacentral:rRNA from 1 species
UACGGCGAGUGAAGAGAGGAAGAGCCCAAGAUUGAAAGCUGGCGUCUUCGGCGUCCGCAUUGUAAUCUCAAGAAGUGUUUUCCGCUUCGGACCAUGCCUAAGUCCCUUGGAAAAGGGCAUCAUAGAGGGUGAUAAUCCCGUACAUGGCAUGGAGCGCCCGAAGCUUUGUGAUACGCUUUCUAAGAGUCGAGUUGUUUGGGAAUGCAGCUCAAAAUGGGUGGUAAAUGCCAUCUAAGGCUAAAUAUUGGGGAGAGACCGAUAGCGAACAAGUACAGUGAUGGAAAGAUGAAAAGAACUUUGAAAAGAGAGUUAAACAGUACGUGAAAUUGCCAAAAGGGAAGGGUAGGAGGUCAGAGAUGCGGCCUGGGAUUCAGCCUUGCUUUUGCUUGGUGUUUUUCCCAGAUUGCAGGCCAACGUCGGUUUUGGGCACUGGAGAAGGGUAGGAGGAACGUGGCACCUCUCGGGGUGUGUUAUAGCCUCCUACUGGAUACAGCGACCGAGACCGAGGACAGCAGCGUACUCGCAAGAGCGGGCCUUCGGGCACCUUUACGCUUAGGGCGUUGGCAUAAUGGCCCUCUACCACCCGUC